GAUGAACGCUAGCGGGAGGCUUAACACAUGCAAGUCGAGCGGGAUUCACCUUCGGGUGAUGAGAGCGGCGCACGGGUGCGUAACGCGUAUGCAACCUACCUUAUACAAAGGGAUAGCCCAUGGAAACGUGGAUUAAUAUCUUAUGGGACUAAUUAAUCGCAUGGUUGAUUAGUUAAAAUUUCGGUGGUAUAAGAUGGGCAUGCGUCUGAUUAGCUAGUUGGUGAGGUAACGGCUCACCAAGGCGACGAUCAGUAGGGGUUCUGAGAGGAUUUACCCCCCACACUGGUACGUAGAGGACACGGACCGACGACGUCCUACGGGAGGGCAGCGAGU
rnacentral:rRNA from 1 species